rnacentral:rRNA from 1 species
UACGAAGGGGCUAGCGUUGUUCGGAAUUACUGGGCGUAAAGCGCACGUAGGCGGAUUUGUAAGUCAGGGUGAAAUCCCGGGCUCAACCUCGGAACUGCCUUUGAUACUGCAAAUCUCGAGUCCGGAAGAGGAGGAGUGGAAUUCCUGGUGUAGCGGUGAAAUGCGCAGAUAUCAGGAAGAACACCUAUGGCGAAGGCAGCUCUCUGGGACGGUACUGACGCUGAGACGCGAAGCGUGGGAGCGAACAGG